AUGGAAGCCGUGCACGGUAUACAGUCCCUGGCUUCAGGAGACGGCCACCACCACCUUUCCCGGACCCUUGGGCCGGCGCUGCUGAUCUCCGUGGGCUAUAUUGAUCUUGGCAAGUGGGUGGCCACGGUCGACGCCGGGGCUCGGUUUGGGUACGACCUCGUGCUGCUGGUGCUGCUUUUCAACUUCUCAUCGGUUCUGUAUCAGUACAUGUGCACCUGCAUCGGCAUGGUCACCGAGAAGAAUCUCGCACAGAUCUCCGACCAGGAGUACAGUCGGUUCAUAUGUGUCGGCCUUGGUGUCCAGGCAGGAUUGUCUUUGCUUACUUCAGAACUAACCAUGAUUUCAGGCAUAGCAGUUGGAUUCAACCUUGUAUUUGAUCACGAUGAUCUCAUCACAGGCAUUAUUUUUGCAUGCGUUGUAAUUAACCUGCUGCCGUAUCUCUUAUCCCCUCGGGACAAGAGGAUGUCUGGAAUGUUAAAUGCUUGCAUAGCGGGCUUUACGAUCCUUUGUUUUGUGCUUGGUUUGUUAAUCAGUCAACCAGAGAUACCUCUCCAUGUGAAUGUGAUGUUCCCCAAGUUGAGUGGUGAAAGUGCUUACUCACUGAUGGCACUUAUGGGUGCAAACAUAAUAUCACACAAUUUUUAUGUUCACUCAUCAGUUGUUCAGGUUCAAAAGAGGUCUCAUGUUCUUACCCUUCGUACCCUGUUUCAUGACCACCUUUUUUCUAUAUUAUUCAUUUCUACUGGAGUUUUUCUUGUGAACUAUGUUCUGUUGAGCUCAGCGGCAUCGGAAUCUAGUCACAAUGUGAUCCACUCCUUUCAUGAUGCUGUAGAUCUGAUGAACCAGAUAUUUACAAAUCCCAUGGCUCCACUUGUGUUACUAGCGGUUCUUCUCUUUUCGAGCCACAUUAUUUCGUUGACAUGUGUUAUCGCCAGUCGUGCAGUUAUGGAGAAUUUCUUUGGUGCAAAUCUGUCUCUUUCUGCGCAUCAUGUGCUACUCAAGGUUCUUUCCAUGAUUCCUACUAUCUAUUGUGCAAAAGUAGCAGGCUCCGAAGGGAUAUAUCAGUUACUCAUUCUUUGUCCAGUAAUCCAGGGCAUGACCCUGCCCUCCUCUGCUAUUCCUGUUUUCCGUAUUGCCUCAUCACGGUCAAUGAUGGGCAACUACAGGAUAUCUCUGUACGUUGAAAUACUAGCCUUCCUUGCAUUUCUUCUUAUGUUGUUCACAAAUAUCAUUUUCGCGGCCGAAAUCAUGUUCGGUGACAGCAGCUGGACAAACAACCUGAAAGGGAACACUGAAAGCCCUGUCAUAAUUCCACAUGCUGUACUAAUUCUAAUGUCUUGUGCGUCUAUUGCUUUUACACUCUUCCUGGCUGUGACUCCAAUAAAAUCAGCCAGUAGUGAAGCUGAAACUCAUGAGUGGUCUGUGCACUCUCCGAGAGAAGCACUGGGCACCACUCAUCACACAGAAGAUACUUAUCCGGAAUAUAUUGCGCGCGAAGAAAUUCAAAGGUAUUCUGUUGAUGUUGUUCCAAAGGAUUCAUUGGGAAGUCAUAAGAAAUCAGCUUUGGAGCAUACUGACAGUUCUGAAACCACUGCAGAAUCCGAUAACGGGGCUCAACAAUCAACUGCUCAUAUGGCGACUAUUCCUGAGGCUGACUCCUUAGCGCCCUGCAACCUCGAGGAGUCAAAAUCAGUUGUUAGGGUUGACUUUACAGAGUCAACUACAAAGGUUUCUACUGCCAUGGUAGUAGAACAAAGUUCAGCAGAGAAUAUCAAAAUGAAGAGCACGGCUGAGAAAGAUGUCGAAGUUGAAGCAGAUGUUUGCACAGACAAGGACAAUGAGACUUCACAUAAUGUGAGCUCCAGUAAUAAGUCCACUGGAGGCAAAGCACCCUCUUCAUCUUCCAGUGAUCCACCAUCCCUUGCUAUGAGCAGGUAUAAAGAAGCUGAUGCUAUCAGUGGCAGUAGUGGCCUCUCAAGGCAGCCUGGUUUGGGCCGUGCUGCAAGGAGACAGUUAGCAGCUAUUCUUGAUGAGUUCUGGGGGCAUCUUUUUGAUUAUCAUGGUAAGUUGACACAAAAAGCUAAUUCUGAAAGGAUCAACCUUUUGCUAGGACUGGACUUGGGAGUAGAUGGUUCAGCUGGGAGAACGGAUAACCAAAACACUCAAGCUUCCAAGAACCCCUUAGCGAGAGAUACAGUGCCAGGAUCAGGCAUCUCUAGCCCAUACUUGUCUUUUGGGCUUCAGAUGGGUGCCAUGGGGUCAUCAGCCUGGUCACAGAGCAUGCAUUUACCAAACACAGACGCUCUGAGUUCAAGCAGCACGUUUCUUGACCAAAAUGCAAAAGAAAUCACGAAUUAUGAUGGGGCACCUUACUGUGAUAACCAGUUGUGUCAGCCUGCUACCAUUCAUGCUGGGUAUCAGCUAGCAAACUAUCUAAAAGUGAUAGAUGCAAGUCGGCGUUCACGUUCCAGCAUUCCACUGAAGGCACAGCGACCUCCUAUAUCUUCUGAAUCCGCUGGUUCCAACUAUGCUGGCUCUGCUAUUCGUUCAUUUGGUUCUACCACUUUGCAGAACCCAACAAUGAGCGGCUUAAGUACAAUGAUGGUAGGAAGAUCGUAUUACGAUCCCACUACCAUUCUUGGUGGUGGCUCAUCUGCUUACCCAAAGAAGUACCAGAGCUCACCCGAUAUAUCUGCUGUAAUUGCUGCAAGCAGGAAUUCACUGUUGAAUAAAGCAAAUAUGGGCAGUGCUGCUGGAAAUCAGUCAUAUCUUAGUAGGGUGGCAUGUGAAAAAUCACGUGAUGUGGACGCAGCAAACAUGUUACAGAGCUCUAUGCAGUCGAGUAUGAACACCAAACCAGCAUCACUUUGGUCCCGGCAACCAUUUGAACAACUGUUUGGUGUGCCGAGUGCAGAGUUGAAUAAUAGGAGCGAGGUGAACACCGAGCGCAGAUCAAAUGUCACCAAGGAUGAUUUCUCAUACAAGGAAUCCGAAGCAAAGCUUCUCCAGUCUCUUAGGUUUUGCAUCAUGAAGCUCUUAAAGCUGGAAGGGUCGAGAUGGCUUUUUAGGCAGAAUGGUGGUUGUGAUGAAGAUCUAAUUGACCAAGUCGCUGCAGCUGAGAGAGUUUCACAAGAAACCACAAAUGGCAUGGACGUUAAUUGCAUGCACGGACAGCUCAAUUGUGGUGGUGAUUGUGUUUGGCAGGCUUCCCUGGUUGUUAGUUUUGGUGUCUGGUGUAUCCGUCGGGUGCUUGACCUGUCCCUUGUGGAAAGUAGGCCAGAACUUUGGGGCAAGUAUACUUAUGUUCUCAACCGUCUUCAGGGGAUCCUCGAUCCUGCAUUUUGUAAGCCUCGGAAACCCGUCACCGGGUGCUCAUGCCUCGAGAAAGCACGUCUGGUCGCCAAGCCGAUGCCCGCCACCUUCACCGCCAUAGCUGACAUCUUGCUGUUGAUCAAAGAUGUGGAGCAAGCCGUUUCGGGCCGGAGGGGUCGAAGCGGCACGGUGGCAGGAGAUGGUGCCUUCCCUAAAGGGAAGGAAAACCUUGCUUCUGUGCUCAAGCGAUACAAGCGUAGGCUCUCGAGCAACAAGCCACCUGCCGGACCAUAG
rnacentral:rRNA from 1 species